GACUAGUCAAAAUGAAGUCCUCCUCCCAGCUUGGCAGUUUGCUUCAUCAAAGGCCAACCCACAAGGGGCACCUGCACAGUGAAGUGACAGAGGCCGUUUCACUGAGGAUGGACGUCAACCUUGUCAGUGUUUUACAAGCAGAGCUGAAUUUCUAGGUGCCCUCCGCACGUGAGCAACUUUCGGUUUCUAGGUUUGCUGUCAGGGGUCAGGAAAUGGUGAGGCGAGAGAGACGGGGUCUGGUGUUUGCAACAGCCGCUCAGCUUCAUGUCUGAAGGAUGAGAGGUGAUGCCAGGACCAAGGGACCAGUGAAGACAAGGGGAAGGAUGACAGAGAAAGACGUUUUUAAAGAACCAUAUGAAGUAGGUAUCAUUACAAUUCCCAUAUUUCAGAAGAGGAAACGGAAGAACAGAGAGGUUAAGGACUACCUCCAAAUUGCACAGCUGCAAGAGUCCAGGAGCCACUCUUGCAAUAUGGCCUCCCUCCUGACCUCAGCAGGGCACUGACAGCCAGGACUCGGAUGGAAAAGAGGCAUCGAUGCGGGAGGGAAAAACAGUGAGGGAGAGCACACCAUCAGGAGACUGUGUCCAUCGACUCCUUCUCCUUCCACUUCCUUUGGCAGCAGUAGCCUCUAUAAAAAGAAAACCAAGACUCAAACUCUAACUGAUUGGUAGGUGAUUCAGAAGAGAGAUGUUCUACUCCUUUCACCAUGUGAGGAUGGAAGGCUUCAAUCAGAAGACGGUCCUCACCCAAC